rnacentral:snoRNA from 14 species
AUAGCAUCUUAAACAGGUCGUGGCCUUUGAGCAGUAGGCCAGGAUUUGGUAGCUGGUGCUGAAAUCAGUUCUCUCUUGCAAUACUCCCAGCAGCAACCCGUGGGCUUUUUUGGGGUAUAAUCGGAGAGGAAAACAA